rnacentral:lncRNA from 1 species
AUGGUACAAUGUGUGCUCUUUUUCUCAGCCCUGUCAAAACAAGGAGCUGCAAUCUCACCACAAGAGGGGGCUUCAUCCACACCUUUUAUCUCACUGGGAUUAGGCCUUGCCUGGCAGCAUGGAGAGUCACUGCCGUUCUGCCCACUUUCUUGCAAUCGAUUUCCACACCUGCAGUGCCCUUAUUUUUUUUUAGUGUGGUGUCUAAUCCCCCCAUUUCUGCGCCACUUAAUCCAAAACAAAGCCUCAGCAGCCCAUGGGAGCUGCUAUGUUGGGACCCAAGUUCAUCACAUUGGAGCUGCUGUCCAUCUCUCACAGCAUCCCCAGACGGGAAAGGGAACCGCCCAGACUGCUGGUGCCAGGGUGAUAUCAUCUGAUAAUCAACCUCAAACAUGGGCUCCGAGCCACACAGUGCAUUUUCAUAUAGUGAAAGGUCUUCAUCCUUCACUCUCGCUUUUAUAUCGAGGGUUUUUUUCUGCAAAUAUUGAUCCCGGAGAUUGAGUGAAAUUGGUGUGUCAUAUAAAAAGGGAACUUGUUAGCGCUAUAUAUAUCUGAAUGGGUGCCAAGUAAAGGCUUAUUAACUAGAAUCCCUGUUUCUUUAACCGUAAACCAGAAUGUUAUUAAUUUAAUUUAAUUAUUUAUUUAUUUUUAAUUGAGGCAGCCCAUUAGUUGUAGCAUGUAUUAUGAAUAUCAGCUGUCAUUCUACAUGUGCUUGAGCGCUCUCAAGUACAUGUAGAAUGAUAUGAGGAGCACUGGCAUCGCUCCAGAGCUCCUCUAGACAGCAAACAUCAACAUGAGAGACAAGCUGGACUUGUACUUAAUCAUUUCAAUUAUCAUAAUAAUUAUUUAAAGUGUUGUAACUUAAAAAUUGGCUUUUUGUGAAUGAUUGUUACUAUCUAUGUCGGUGUGAAAAGGUAAAACCCCACAAAAGUAGACAUCAUAACUUUUAGAAGCCAUUGAUGGUACAUGGUGCUAUAAAUGAAAGUGAAAAAAAAAACUGUCUCAUUUGUCAAAGUUUGCUUCAUAAAUGAAAAAGUGGCUGAGUUGUACAGAGCCGCCUACUUUCCACAGCCAUUCAUCGCUAAAAGUGUGACUGAGGGGGCCAUGUGCUCUGUCCCCCACCCCCAGUUCUCACUGCCACUCAGCCCAUAUGUGCAUUCGAGUGGCAGCUGCAAACUCCUUCCUCCCUUCUCACUUGCCCUCUGAUAAAAAAAAAAGAAAGAAAGAAAGUGAAAAACAGCUCUGCGUGCACAUAGGAGAGCUUCUCUGGUCAGCAUGUGUCUGACAGCUACUGUGAGCAUCAGGAAGACACACAAAGCUCGAGAAAAGGCCUUUUCCUAUCCAAAAACAACAAACCUAUUAUUUACAAGGCC